GUAGUCAUAUGCUUGUCUCAAAGAUUAAGCCAUGCAUGUCUAAGUAUAAGCAAUUAUACAGCGAAACUGCGAAUGGCUCAUUAAAUCAGUUAUCGUUUAUUUGAUAGUACCUUACUACAUGGAUAACCGUGGUAGUUCUAGAGCUAAUACAUGCUGAAAAUCCCGACUUCGGAAGGGAUGUAUUUAUUAGAUAAAAAACCAAUGCCCUUCGGGGCUCCUUGGUGAAUCAUAAUAACUUAACGAAUCGCAUGGCCUUGCGCCGGCGAUGGUUCAUUCAAAUUUCUGCCCUAUCAACUUUCGAUGGUAGGAUAGUGGCCUACCAUGGUAUCAACGGGUAACGGGGAAU
rnacentral:rRNA from 1 species